GAAAUGCGAUAAUUAAUGUGAAUUGCAGAAUUCAGUGAAUCAUCGAGUCUUUGAACGCACGUUGCGCCCCCUGGUAUUCCGGGGGGCAUGCCUGUCCGAGCGUCAUUGCUGCCCUCAAGCACGGCUUGUGUGUUGGGCUUCCGUCCCUGGCAACGGGGACGGGCCCAAAAGGCAGUGGCGGCACCAUGUCUGGUCCUCGAGCGUAUGGGGCUUUGUCACCCGCUCCCGUAGGUCCAGCUGGCAGCUAGCCUCGCAACCAAUCUUUUUAACCAGGUUGACCUCGGAUCAGGUAGGGAUACCCGCUGAACUUAAGC
rnacentral:misc_RNA from 1 species